rnacentral:rRNA from 1 species
UGGGGAAUAUUGCACAAUGGAGGGAACUCUGAUGCCGCGACGCCGCGUGAGUGAUGAAGGAAUUCGUUUCGUAAAACUCUGUUCUAUGGGAAGAAAAGGACUGUACCAUAGGAGAAAGCUCCGGCUAAAUACGUGCCAGCAGCCGCGGUAAUACGUAUGGAGCGAGCGUUGUCCGGAUUUAUUGGGCGUAAAGGGUGCGCAGGCGGCUUUACAAGUUGGAUGUGAAAUAUUGUGGCUCAACCACAAACGUGCAUCCAAAACUGCAAAGUUGGGGGUAAGGAGAGGUAAGUGGAAUUCCUGGUGUAGCGGUGGAAUGCGUAGAUAUCGGGAGGAAUACCGGUGGCGAAGGCGACUUACUGGACUUAACCUGACGCUCAGGCACGAAGGCGUGGGGAGCAAACGGG